UACAGAGGUCUCAAGCGUUGUUCGGAUUCAUUGGGCGUAAAGGGUGUGUAGGUGGCGCCGUAAGUCGGGUGUGAAAUCUCGGGGCUUAACUCCGAAACUGCAUUCGAUACUGCGGUGCUUUGAGGACUGGAGAGGAGACUGGAAUUCAUGGUGUAGCAGUGAAAUGCGUAGAGAUCAUGAGGAAGACCAGUGGCGAAGGCGGGUCUCUGGACAGUUCCUGACACUGAGACACGAAGGCCAGGGGAGCAAACGGG
rnacentral:rRNA from 1 species